rnacentral:lncRNA from 1 species
ACGCUUACAAGAUGCUCCAACAACAUUAACCAAACUAUUAGCCGUUGUGAAAAAAGAGUUGACAUCAAUGUUUUUCUUUGCUACCGCAACAAGAGCUAGUUGAAGUUGAUGAGCAAAGCAAUGAACAUAAAAUGCACAAGGGUGUUCUCUCAAAAUCUUUGUCUUAAGGCCAUUGAACUCACCUCUCAUAUUGCUAGCUCCAUCAUAACCUUGUCCUCGUAGCUUGGAAAAGCUCAAAUUCGCGGAAGAAAAGAAUUCAUCAAUUGCUUCCUUUAGUGCACUUGAAGUAGUGUCGGUUACAUGUUGAACCCCUACA